AAAUUGAAGAGUUUGAUCAUGGCUCAGAUUGAACGCUGGCGGCAGGCCUAACACAUGCAAGUCGAACGGUAACAGGAAGCAGCUUGCUGCUUCGCUGACGAGUGGCGGACGGGUGAGUAAUGUCUGGGAAACUGCCUGAUGGAGGGGGAUAACUACUGGAAACGGUAGCUAAUACCGCAUAACGUCGCAAGACCAAAGAGGGGGACCUUCGGGCCUCUUGCCAUCGGAUGUGCCCAGAUGGGAUUAGCUUGUUGGUGGGGUAACGGCUCACCAAGGCGACGAUCCCUAGCUGGUCUGAGAGGAUGACCAGCCACACUGGAACUGAGACACGGUCCAGACUCCUAC
rnacentral:rRNA from 1 species